rnacentral:rRNA from 1 species
UACGUAGGGGCGAGCGUUGUCCGGAUUUAUUGGGCGUAAAGAGCUCGUAGGCGGCUAAGCAAGUCGGGUGGGAAAUCUCCAGGCUCAACCUGGAGCCUUCGCCCGAUACUGCUUUGGCUUGAGUCCGGUAGGGGAGUGUGGAAUUCCCGGUGUAGCGGUGAAAAUGCGCAGAUAUCAGGAAGAACACCCGUGGCGAAGGCGGCUCUCUGGGACGGUACUGACGCUGAGACGCGAAAGCGUGGGGAGCGAACAGGG